UACGGGGGGGGCAAGCGUUGUUCGGAAUUACUGGGCGUAAAGGGCUCGUAGGUGGCCAACUAAGUCAGACGUGAAAUCCCCAGGCUCAACUUGGGAACUGCGUCUGAUACUGGAUGGCUUGAAUUCGGGAGAGGGAUGCAGAAUUCCAGGUGUAGCGGUGAAAUGCGUAGAUAUCUGGAGGAAUACCGGUGGCGAAGGCGGCAUCCUGGACCGAGAUUGACACUGAUGAGCGAAAAGCUAGGGGAGCAAACGGG
rnacentral:rRNA from 1 species